CAGAGAUGAUUGUGGAUGACCCGAUGGAAGUUCCUAGGAGAAUGAUGGAGGAUUGGACUCCCCAACUUGUUGACGAUCUUCCAGAAGUCUUUAGUGGGGGGUGGGUUGGUUAUUUCUCAUAUGACACAGUGCGGUAUGUGGAGAAGAAAAAACUGCCUUUCUCCAUUGCCCCACCAGAUGACAGAAAUCUCCCUGAUGUCCACCUUGGCCUUUAUGAGGACGUUAUGAUAUUUGAUCAUUUGGAGAAGAAAGCAUAUGUUAUUCACUGGGUGCGAUUAGAACAAUAUACCACCGUUGAGGAGGCCUUCGAUGACGGAAUGAACCGGUUGGAAAAUUUAUUAUCUAGAGUGCAUAAUACGGC
rnacentral:misc_RNA from 1 species